GCCUACGGGGGGCAGCAGUGGGGGAUAUUGCACAAUGGGGGGAACCCUGAUGCAGCGACGCCGCGUGGGCGAUGGAGUACUUCGGUAUGUAAAGCCCUAUCAGCAGGGAAGAAAAUGACGGUACCUGACUAAGAAGCCCCGGCUAAAUACGUGCCAGCAGCCGCGGUAAUACGUAGGGGGCAAGCGUUAUCCGGAUUUACUGGGUGUAAAGGGCGUGUAGCCGGGUUGACAAGUCAGAUGUGAAAUCCGGGGGCUUAACCCCCGAACUGCAUUUGAAACUGUUGAUCUUGAGUAUCGGAGAGGCA
rnacentral:rRNA from 1 species